AGUAAAUAGGGGCAUAACCGUCAAAGACCAGCGGAAGCACGUAUACCACCCAUUCUGUUUUAGUGUCGAAAGAAUUCUUCAACCGCUAGACGUCUCUAACGGUUGGUUCAGUUGUUUCCCAAAGCAAAUGGCGUCAUCUCUUCUUAUGAAACCAACAGUCAGCAGUAAUAGAGAUGAGGUGUAUGUUGCAGCAGUGCCUCUAAGAGCCGCAAAAGGACCUGCCCAGCUCCUCACCUCUACUGCUUACUCUCUCAAUCUCUGGGAUUUGCAGCACUUCAUGGUCAUCAUUAAGCCCUCCUCACCACCACCACAUUCUCAGGCUUUGGUUUUUGAUUUUCAACCUAAAGAUCCUGAAAACAUAUAUGCAGCACUUGCAGUUCUAUCUGGUAAAGCAAUACCAGGAGUUAUUCUAACAAGGAAGUUAUCGAAGCUUCCAAGAACCAAAUGCUGGUUUGUUGGAUCUUCCAAAGCAGGUGCCAUCGAUAAAGCUAGUGAAUUUAACAAAGUCUGGAAAACUCAUCUAAGGGUUGGCCAUCAUGAUUGUCGAAACUAUACCAAUGCUUCAGGCAAAUGGGAAAUAUUCAACAUUUAUUCAGUUGCUCACAUUCCAAAGGGCAAUGGCAGCAAAGACAGUUCAAUAAUAGCAGGGAUUUAUUUCAAUCAGCAGAAUUGCAAGGAAAGAAGCUUUGACAGAAUUUUAAGGAAACUAGCUUAGAAUUCAUCUUAGUUUGUACUUCACCUGUUAAAAACGGUAUCAACCUGAUCGAGUCUGCCCAGAUGAACAACAGUUUGAAACCAUCUUGGCAGCCCUUCGAAUUCAAGCUCUGUAAAAUUUCCAUUAGUUGGGUCAUAAAGAACUAGAGCCCUACCUUGGUACUCCAACAACAUAUUACAUACUGCCACUCUCCAAAACGUUCAGGAUCCGAAUAAUUACUCCUCUUGCUUUGUCUGCAAUAUUCACUAGGUGACUAGGGACUGUAAUAAGUUCUCUUCACUACCUUGUAUACUUCAAUUAAGGGACCUUCUAUACUUCAGUUAAGGGACUAUAUCCAAAUCCAAAUAUCACGUCUAUGUUGAUUAGGAUACUGGAUGGUCCUGGGCAGGUCUAUAUAAUCCCUAGUGAAUGGAUUAUAUAUGUAUGGUGCAUCAUUGCACACUGCAUCAGCUAAGCAGAGCAAACCAUCAAAUGAGCCUACCAGGCUACCACUUCAAACUCAGGCAUUAAAGCACAAAAAGUGCAGGAUGAGGCCCAUAUUGUUUCCAGCUAUGUUUGAGCUAUGCAAAGUAUCAAGGUGACUGCCUGCUAGUGCACGCCAUGAUCGGCAUACAUACCAGAAUUGCACCAGAGAGGAAAGAGGAAAACUUGAUGAACACCACAUUGUAUAGAACCUAAGUUCAUAUUCAUAUAUGAUUUAGUUUUGAAUUCAAAUAGCACUAGAUUAGUGUAAAUCUAACAGAAGCCUGGAAAGUACGUUGACCAUGAUUUCAGAUGGGAGACUUUGCUGCCAAGUUACUGACUGCUUUCCUCCUUGGUUUCUCCUCCUUCUAGAAUCUGUGUUUCUCUGUAUAUAUAAUGAAGUAGAAUAUAAUUCUAUUUUGUGAA